rnacentral:lncRNA from 1 species
UUUAUCUGAAGAGAUCAGGUUGCAGGCGAGUACCGAAGAAAGCAGUGCAGGUUUGGUCGUAAAUGAUACAAGUGGAGGAAGGGGACGAUCAAGCGAACGUGAUGCAGGUAAAGGAAGAUCCCGUUCCAAGUCAAAAUCGAAAAAGGUGAAGUGUUACUUCUGUAGAAAAAAGGGCCACAUGAAAAAGAACUGCGAAAAGAGGAAGGCUUGGCUGCGAAAUCAGAAUUCCUCUGCAGAUACGGCGAGCGUAGCGAGUGAUUCCGGUCAGGACGUCUUGACGGUUACAACAGAUUUUGACUCUCACGGUGACUGGAUAUUAGAUUCUGGUUGUUCUUAUCACAUGUCUCCAAACAGGUCUUUAUUUGAUACUUAUAAGUCUUGUGAAGGCAGUAGUGUUAUGAUGGGUAAUCGCACUAAUUGCAAGAUGGUCGAUAUCGGAACAGUAAAAAUAAAGAUGUUUGAUGGUGUGGUGAGGACGUUAACGGAUGUGAGACACAUUCCGGAUCUCAGGUUAAAUCUUAUAUCACUUGGUACUCUUGACUCUACUGGCUGUUCUAUUAGCAUUUCAGGUGGAGUUGUCAAGGUUAAAAAGGGUACCAUGGUCGUCAUGAAGGGAGAGAAGAAAGGGAAUCUGUAUAGGCUGAUCGGCGAGUCGGUGAUUGGAGGUGUUGCGGUAACAUCCCCAGAAGAUCAUGAUGCUGAUGAUACGGAGCUCUGGCACAUGAGAUUAGCCCACAUGAGUGAAAAAGGGAUGUUGGAACUGCAUAAAAGGGGAGUACUUAAAGGUAUUAAAUCCUGUAAACUUAAUUUCUGCAAAUAUUGUUUAUUUGGAAAACAGAAAAGGUUGAGUUUCAGGACAUCCAGUCAUAAAAGCAAAAGUAUACUUGAGUACAUCCAUGCGGACGUGUGGGGACCGGCUCCGGUGACUUCGAAAGGUGGUGCACGAUAUUUUAUUACAUUUAUCGAUGAUUUCUCUCGUAAGGUUUGGGUAUUCUUCAUGAAGGAAAAGUCUGAGGCAUUUAUAAAGUUCAGACAUUGGAAGAGUGAGGUGGAGAAACAAACUGGGAAGCAGGUCAAGGUUCUUCGAACGGACAAUGGUGAAGAGUUCACUUCUCGGGAGUUUAAGAAAUUCUGCAAGGAUGAAGGUAUUGUACGUCAUUACACGGUUCCAGGUACUGCACAGCAGAAUGGGGUAGCAGAAAGGAUGAACCGGACAUUGCUAGAACGUGCCAGAUCCAUAAGGUUAUGUGCAGAUUUGCCAAAUUUAUCCCUCUGAUUUAUUACCAUUAUAGUACUAUUUAUUUUCUAACAGAAAAUAAAUAAAAUUAUAUUUCUAUUAUUACAAAUAUGUCUCUCCAAAAGCCCAAUUAUUAAAAUUAUGAAGAAAUGUCCUCCAAAAAAUUUCCAAAGAUUUUCUUCUUCCUUUCUACCAUUACAAAUAAUAUAAAAGUGAUAAAAAGAUCAAUUUAGCUCAUUUACUAAUCAUGGGUAAGUAUUUUACGUUCCAAUCGUUAACUGUUUUUUUCUAACGGAUCUUAAUAAUGUUAAGAAUAUGCCUUCUUUUGAACUUGGGUUGAAUCAAAUUAGUUAACCCAUUAAGUUGGUUUAUAAAAGAUGGUAUAGGCUAGGACCAUGGAUUACAUCAAAUUGAUUUUCAGUUUAUUGGUGUAAGAUUUGUGUUUAUCUACACAUGUCCUCUCCUAGUCUAAUUAGGAUUGUUGACUUGUUGACCGCACCUAUAUAUAUACAUGCAUGGCUAUGCAACCGGGGAAGAGGCGUCAUGUGUGAGAAAAUUAAUUAGCAUCGGGCUAAUUAAUUCACAAGCUUCCGAGGCGUACGGCAGCAAGGAACCUAAUUAAUUAAGGUGGCUCCGUCCGUAUGGUUAGAGAAGAAGCACCGCGUCUUUGCAUGCGACGUCGGAUUGGAGUCGGCAGCAGGAGCGGCGGUUCUUAACCAAUUGCCUGAGCAGUUCGGAUUCUUCGAAGCAACGGCAUAAAGGAAUUUGGUUAGAGUUUCUAUACUUCUCUAAUUUGGUUCUCAGUUUUACGAAAAGCUUUUUCAGUAUUUUCUUGGAGUUUUCGUUGGAACAAGAAAGGUGGGAUUCACCAUAAGGUUCUUGGUUUUUUUUAUCCGGAGAAGACAUAAGGUGUAAGCUUAUACUUCUAUUUCUUCAUAUAGUGGAAUACAUCUCUCUCGCUCUCCCCGUGGACGUAAGUAAUUGCCGAAACACGUAAAUCUUAGUUUCUUCUUUCUGCAUUUAUUUCUUUUACCGUUCGGUCGAUUUUCUCUAUUUUUCGUGCAUCCUUGUUGGUAGCACAUGACGGACGAUCCAUCCGGUUCCCAACAAGUGGUAUCAGAGCGUAAGGUUCGUGCUACAUCAGAGAUGUCGAAAGUCUCGUCUUCUAAGUUUGAGGUGGAGAAAUUUGACGGUAAAGAAAACUUCGAUCUCUGGCAGAGAAGAGUGAAAGCCCUUCUGGUUCAACAGGGCCUUCAUAAGGCAUUGCUCGGAAAAUCGAAAAAGCCGACAUCGAUGAGCGACGAAGAUUGGGAGGAUAUUAAUCUGCAAGCGGUGAAUACAAUUAUAUUGUGUCUAGCAGAUGAAGUGAUGUAUAACGUAAUGGAUGAAGAAACUACAGUCGGCAUGUGGGACAAGCUAGAGAAGCUGUACAUGACCAAAAGCCUCUCGAACGUGCUGUACCUAAAGCAAAAAUUAUAUGGACUACGCAUGAAGGAAGGUACGGCAAUAACGGAACACUUGAACACCUUUAAUAAAUUAUUGCGGAUUUGCUAAGCAUUAAUGUCAAGGUUGACGAGGACGAUAAGGCGUUGAUUUUUCUUACAUCACUUCCGUCGUCCUACAAUCACUUGGUGAUCACCAUACUGUACGGGAAGCAAACUCUAAAGAUGGAAGAUGUUACAUCGACACUUUUAUCUGAAGAGAUCAGGUUGCAGGCGAGUACCGAAGAAAGCAGUGCAGGUUUGGUCGUAAAUGAUACAAGUGGAGGAAGGGGACGAUCAAGCGAACGUGAUGCAGGUAAAGGAAGAUCCCGUUCCAAGUCAAAAUCGAAAAAGGUGAAGUGUUACUUCUGUAGAAAAAAGGGCCACAUGAAAAAGAACUGCGAAAAGAGGAAGGCUUGGCUGCGAAAUCAGAAUUCCUCUGCAGAUACGGCGAGCGUAGCGAGUGAUUCCGGUCAGGACGUCUUGACGGUUACAACAGAUUUUGACUCUCACGGUGACUGGAUAUUAGAUUCUGGUUGUU